rnacentral:rRNA from 1 species
AGCGAACGCUGGCGGCAGGCCUAACACAUGCAAGUCGAACGAACUCUUCGGAGUUAGUGGCGGACGGGUGAGUAACACGUGGGAAUGUGCCUUUUGGUUCGGAAUAACUCAGGGAAACUUGUGCUAAUACCGAAUGUGCCCUUCGGGGGAAAGAUUUAUCGCCAUUAGAGCGGCCCGCGUCUGAUUAGCUAGUUGGUGAGGUAACGGCUCACCAAGGCGACGAUCAGUAGCUGGUCUGAGAGGAUGACCAGCCACACUGGGACUGAGACACGGCCCAGACCCCUACGGGAGGCAGCAGGGGGGAAUCUUGCGCAAGGGGCGAAAGCCUGACGCAGCCAGGCCGGGGGAAUGAUGAAGGUCUUAGGAUUGUAAAAUUCUUUCCCCGGGGACGAUAAUGACGGUACCCGGAAAAGAAGCCCCGGCUAACUUCGU